CAUAACUCGGGAGCGGCGUCGCGGUGAAUACAGGGUGUUAAAGGUUUAAUGGGAAUUACUUGGCGUAAAGCGAGCGUAGGUGGCUGUUUAAGUUAGAUGUGAAAGGCCCGGACUUAACCUGGGAACUGCAUCGGAUACUGGACUGCUAGAGUAGGUGAGAGGGGAGGAGAAUUCCAGGUGUAGCGGUGAAAUGCGUAGAGAUCUGGAGGAAUACCGAUGGCGAAGGCAGCUCCCUGGCAUCAUACUGACACUGAGGUUCGAAAGCGUGGGUAGCAAACAGGAUUAGAUACCCUUGUAGUC
rnacentral:rRNA from 1 species